rnacentral:rRNA from 1 species
GACGAACGCUGGCGGCGUGCUUAACACAUGCAAGUCGAACGGAAAGGCCCUGCUUUUGUGGGGUGCUCGAGUGGCGAACGGGUGAGUAACGCGUGAGUAACCUGCCCUUGACUUUGGGAUAACUUCAGGAAACUGGGGCUAAUACCGGAUAGGAGCUCCUGCUGCAUGGUGGGGGUUGGAAAGUUUCGGCGGUUGGGGAUGGACUCGCGGCUUAUCAGCUUGUUGGUGGGGUAGUGGCUUACCAAGGCUUUGACGGGUAGCCGGCCUGAGAGGGUGACCGGCCACAUUGGGACUGAGAUACGGCCCAGACUCCUACGGGAGGCAGCAGUGGGGAAUAUUGCACAAUGGGCGGAAGCCUGAUGCAGCAACGCCGCGUGCGGGAUGACGGCCUUCGGGUUGUAAACCGCUUUCGCCUGUGACGAAGCGUGGGUGACGGUAAUGGGUAAAGAAGCACCGGCUAACUACGUG